rnacentral:tRNA from 1 species
GAGGGGAUAGCUCAGUGGUAGAGCGCAUGCUUUGCAUGCACAAGGUCCUGAGUUCAAUCCCCUGUACCCCCA